rnacentral:rRNA from 1 species
GACGAACGCUGGCGGCGUGCUUAACACAUGCAAGUCGAACGGAAAGGCCUGCUUUCCCUUGUGGAUUGCGGGUACUCGAGUGGCGAACGGGUGAGUAACACGUGAGUGAUCUGCCCCCAACUUGGGUAUAAGCCUGGGAAACUGGGUCUAAUUCCCGAUAGGACUGCAGGGUGGUGCCUGUGGUGGAAAACGAUUUUCUAGUGGUUGGGGGUGAGCUCGCGGCCUAUCAGCUUGUUGGUGGGGGAAUGGCCUACCAAGGCGGCGACGGGUAGCCGGCCUGGGAGGGUGGACGGCCACAUUGGGACUGAGAUACGGCCCAGACUCCUACGGGAGGCAGCAGUGGGGAAUAUUGCACAAUGGGCGGAAGCCUGAUGCAGCGACGCCGCGUGGGGGAUGACGGCCUUCGGGUUGUAAACUCCUUUCGACCGCGAGGAAGCCACCUGGUUGGAAGGGUGGUGACGGUAGUGGUAGAAGAAGCACCGGCUAACUACGUG